AUGUAAUCUUAGCGGCGGACGGGUGAGUAACGCGUAGGCAACCUGCCUUGCACAGAGGGAUAUCACCGGGAGACUGGUACUAAUACCACAUGAUAUCAUAACAAGGCAUCUUGAAAUGAUCAAAGGAUAAAUCCGGUGCAAGAUGGGCCUGCGUCCGAUUAGUUAGUUGGUGAGGUAACGGCUCACCAAGGCGACGAUCGGUAGCCGAACUGAGAGGUUGAUCGGCCACAUUGGGACUGAGACACGGCCCAGACUCCUACGGGAGGCAGCAGUGGGGAAUAUUGCGCAAUGGGGGGAACCCUGACGCAGCAACGCCGCGUGAAGGAAGAAGGCCUUCGGGUUGUAAACUUUUUUGAUUGGGGAAGAAAAAAAUGACGGUACCCAAGGAACAAGCCACGGCUAACUACGUGCCAGCAGCCGCGGUAAUACGUAGGUGGCGAGCGUUGUCCGGAAUUACUGGGUGUAAAGGGCGUGUAGGCGGGAUUGUAAGUCAGAUGUGAAAUUCCAGGGCUUAACUCUGGAGGUGCAUCUGAAACUAUAAUUCUGGAGUGCUGGAGAGGAAAGCGGAAUUCCUAGUGUAGCGGUGAAAUGCGUAGAUAUUAGGAAGAACACCAGUGGCGAAGGCGGCUUUCUGGACAGUAACUGACGCUGAAUGCGCGAAAGCGUGGGGAGCAAACAGGAUUAGAUACCCUGGUAGUCCACGCUGUAAAACGAUGGAUACUAGGUUGUAAGAGGUAUCGACCCCUUAUGUGCCCGAAUUACACACAAUAAGUAUCCCACCUGGGGAGUACGGCCGCUAGGCUGAAACUCAAAGGAAUUGACGGGUGCCCGCACAAGCAGUGGAGUAUGUGGUUUAAUUCGAAGCAACGCGAAGAACCUUACCAGGGCUUGACAUCCCUCGGAUAACAUAGAGAUAUGUUAGUCCUUCGGACUGAGGAGACAGCUGGUGCAUGGUUGUCGUCAGCUCGUGUCGUGAGAUGUUGGGUUAA
rnacentral:rRNA from 1 species